ACUCCUACGGGAGGCAGCAGUGGGGAAUAUUGCACAAUGGGCGCAAGCCUGAUGCAGCAACGCCGUGUGAGUGAAGAAGGUUUUCGGAUCGUAAAACUCUGUCCUAAGGGAAGAAACAAAUGACGGUACCUUAGGAGGAAGCCCCGGCUAACUACGUGCCAGCAGCCGCGGUAAUACGUAGGGGGCAAGCGUUAUCCGGAAUCACUGGGCGUAAAGGGUGCGUAGGCGGUUUUUCAAGUCAGAAGUGAAAGGCUAUGGCUCAACCAUAGUAAGCUUUUGAAACUGUUAAACUUGAGUGCAGGAGAGGAAAGUGGAAUUCCUAGUGUAGAGGUGAAAUUCGUAGAUAUUAGGAGGAACACCAGUGGCGAAGGCGACUUUCUGGACUGUAACUGACGCUGAGGCACGAAAGCGUGGGGAGCGAACAGGAUUAGAUACCCUGUAGCACAGAG
rnacentral:rRNA from 1 species